AGUUCCGAGUAUAUAAAGAGAGAGAGAAAAAGGGAGGGUCCUACAUGUAUAUAGCCGGGCGGCGACUCUAGUGCCUCUGUAGUUCACUAUACACUGGCAGUGCUAUUCCAGCCGUGGUCGAGUGCAUACACGCCGGAGCGCUUUCUGCAUAUCACACGCAAGUGUGAUUUGGUUUUUUUGUUGUUCGUAUUAUUAUUGUUUUAUUUUUUUUUUUUUACGUUUGGAAGUUUCUCUGUUAAUACCUGCCGCUGGAUUUUGAUCGGAAAAAAGUGUUUUGAGUGCAAUCGGGUAGAAAGGAUGGAACUUGUGGAUUUGUUCGAAUAAGUGAUUUGGUAAUUAGCCCAACUUCCUGCUGUUUGAAUCCAGUCGUCGAUAGUGGACUAUACAUUUCUCACUCCUAUUCGGUUUACCAUUAUUAUUACUACUACUGAAGUAGUAGCGCCGCGUUCAUUCUCGAAAAAGCAGGUGGACAGGAAUUUUCCGGGAGAGAGAAAAAUUCCGUUGCUGGCCAUCUUAUUCCGUCUGUUGCCGUCAAGUGGAAUUUCCGCGACGUGACACGACGCAGCCGAGCAUCCAUCAACAAAACACACGGCGACAUUUCGGUUCCUUUUUUCUUUCAUCUUUUUGGAAACGAGAAACGAUAAAAAGAAAAGAAAAGAAAAUAGAAGAAGAUGCCUUCGCGUUUCCUGACCCUUUGGUCGAUGCUGGCCAAGCCCAGCCAGCAGUCGACGUCCAGCACCAAGAAGAAGAAUAAGAAAGACACUUUGGCCUCGUCACAACAGGUUCACUACCGACCUGGCUUUAUGCCGGUCAUUCCGAUCUAUGGCGAAGAUAUGGCCACCAGUGGCAGCACCAGAAGCGUCCGCGAUGAAGGUAAGAAAAAACCCAAAAAUUACGA